rnacentral:tRNA from 2 species
GGCCCCUUCGUCUAGCGGUUAGGACAUCGGCCUCUCACGCCGGUAACACGAGUUCGAGUCUCGUAGGGGUCACCA